AUGAGAGAGAAGAAAAAUAAAUCUACAUCACAUGGGAAGGUUCAGGUUGAAGCAAGCAGGGACUCUCACAACACAGCUUCCCAGCAAAUCUGGCCUAUGGAGUUCAAAUUGAGAGGUCUUCAUCCUAGAAUAACCACUGAAGGAUUUGAAGCUGCAAAGGAAAAGGUCCUUCACUUUUUGGAACCAGUCAAAGUAAGCAGAGAGAUGGACAGGGAAACACAGAUGUGGCCAGAACAUCUCUUGGCACUCAAGUUCAUGCUGAACUUGCAGAUGUCUUAACAGAGGCUGUAGUGGACUCCAUUUUGGCCAUUAAAAAACAAGGUGAACCUAUUGACCUCUUCAUGGAGGUCAAUGGAGAUGAAACAUAAAUCUGAAACUGACAGAAGCUUAAUCAGAAGGCUUGUUUUGGAUCAUGGAGCCCGUUAUCCUGAUUUGAAGAAAAGAGUAGCAGAUGCGUACAUCCUCACAUGCAACGUGUCAUCACUAGAAAAUGAAAAAACAGAAGUGAACUCUGGCUUUUUUUUAUGAGAGUGCAGAAGACAGAGAAAAACUAGUCAAAGGUAAAAGAAAAUUCAUUGAAGACAGAGAUAAAAAAAAAAUCAUAGAACUGAAAAAGAAAGUCUGAGGUAAAGGAUUUGUUGUUAUUAAUCAAAACGGAAUUGACCGCUUUUGCUUAGAUGCUCUUGCAAAAAAAGACAUAGUGGCUCUGUGCAGAGCUGAAAGGAGAGAUAUGGAGAGGCUGACUCUUGCUUGUGGUGGGGUAGCUCUAAACUCUUUUGAUGACCUAAAUCUUGACUGGGACAUAUAAGACUUGUCUAUGAGUAUACACUGGGAGAAGAGAAGUUCACCUUUGCUGAUAAGUGUAACAAUCCUCACUCUGUCACAUUAUUGGUCAAAGGACCUAAUAAGCACACACUCACUCAAAUCAAAGAUGCAUUAAGAGAUAGCUUGAGGGCUGUCAAAAAUGCUGUUGAUGACGGCUGUGUGGUUCCAGGUGCUGGUGCAGUAGAAGUGGCAAUGGCAGAAGUCCUGAUUAAAUACAAGCCCAAUGUAGAGGGCAGGGACCAAUUUAGAGUCCAAGUGUUUGCUGAUGCCUUGCUCGUUAUUCCCAAGGUUCAUGCUCAGAACUUUGGUUCUGACCUUCAGGAAAUGUUAGUUCAAAUUCAGGCUGAACAUUCGGAAUCAGGUCAACGUGUGGGUGUGGACUUGAACACAGGUGAGCCAAUGGUAGCAGGAGAAGUAGGCGUAUGGGAUAACUAUUGUGUAAAGAAACAGCUUCUUCACUCCUGCACUGUGAUUGCCACCAGCAUUCUCUUGGUUGAUGAGAUCACGCGAGGUGGAAUGUCUUCUCUGAAAGGUUGAAUUGAAGCUUCCUUUGUAUCUGAACCUUCAAGACUCUACAAAGUGAUCCUGAGGAAGAUAGCUGUGAAAUUUUUGUCCAAGCUUCAAGUGGUUUUCUUUUCUCAUAUGAAAAAAAGGAGAGAACAUUGGCGCCUAUUCAAAUUCUGAAGUUCUGAAAUUAUAAUUACAGUAUUUUUUAAAUUGCACUGAAGUACACACACAUAAAAGCAGGUCCUUUUUACCCAUGAACAGGAUGUUUUGCUUUAGCUGCCAUGACAUAAAAUUACAUGUUAGAUAAGCAUGUCAUCUAUCUUUUUAUUAAAUAUUCCUUGAAAA